rnacentral:tRNA from 1 species
AGCUUUAUAGUCAAUAAUGAUAUUAGACUGCAAUUCUAAAGGAAUAAUUAAACUUAUUAAAGCUU